rnacentral:rRNA from 1 species
UACGUAGGGACCAAGCGUUGUUCGGAUUUACUGGGCGUAAAGGGUGCGUAGGCGGUUGUUUAAGUUUGGUGUGAAAUCUCCCGGCUCAACUGGGAGGGUGCGCCGAAUACUGAAUGACUUGGAGUGCGGGAGAGGAGAGUGGAAUUCCUGGUGUAGCGGUGAAAUGCGUAGAUAUCAGGAGGAACACCGGUGGUGUAGACGGCUCUCUGGACCGUAACUGACGCUGAGACACGAAAAGCGUGGGUAGCAAACAGG